GACGAACGCUGGCGGCGCGCCUAACACAUGCAAGUCGAACGAGCGAGAGAGAGCUUGCUUUCUCGAGCGAGUGGCGAACGGGUGAGUAACGCGUGAGGAACCUGCCUCAAAGAGGGGGACAACAGUUGGAAACGACUGCUAAUACCGCAUAAGCCCACAGGUCGGCAUCGACCAGAGGGAAAAGGAGCAAUCCGCUUUGAGAUGGCCUCGCGUCCGAUUAGCUGGUUGGUGAGGUAACAGCCCACCAAGGCGACGAUCGGUAGCCGGACUGAGAGGUUGAACGGCCACAUUGGGACUGAGACACGGCCCAG
rnacentral:rRNA from 1 species